AACGAACGCUGGCGGCAUGCCUAGCACAUGCAAGUCGAACGAGACCUUCGGGUCUAGUGGCGCACGGGUGCGUAACGCGUGGGAACCUGCCCUUAGGUUCGGAAUAACUCCCCGAAAGGGGUGCUAAUACCGGAUAAUGUUUUCGGACCAAAGAUUUAUCGCCUUUGGUUGGGCCCGCGUUGGAUUAGCUAGUUGGUAGGGUAAAAGCCUACCAAGGCGACGAUCCAUAGCUGGUCUGAGAGGGUGAUCAGUCACACUGGGACUGAGACACGGCGCAGACUCCUACGGGAGGCAGCAGUGGGGAAUAUUGGACAAUGGGCGAAAGCCUGAUCCAGCAAUGCCGCGUGAGUGAUGAAGGCCUGAGGGUUGUAAAGCUCUUUUACCCGGGAUGAUAAUGACAUUACCGGGAGAAUAAGCUCCGGCUAACUCCGUG
rnacentral:rRNA from 1 species